CCGGACGUAGCUCAAUGGAUAGAGCAUCAGACUUCGGAUCUGAGGGUUGGGGGUUCGAGUCCCUUCGUCCGGGCCA
rnacentral:tRNA from 1 species